UGAUGCCACCGUAUUAAUCUGUUCCUUAAGU
rnacentral:piRNA from 1 species